ensembl:lncRNA
UUUUUCUGGGGAUCCCUCCUUGAUGCAGCUUUCCCUUGUGAUCCUGAAAUCUUCUGAUACAGGUAUGGAGAGAUGCAGCUUUAGAAGAUACUCUUCAGAAAAGAAAACACCCAUAUUUGUAGGAAGUUUGCACUAGUCACAAAGUGAAGGAGCUGAACAGAAAUGGCAACAGUAACCUCCCAAGGCACUCCUGACUGAAGUCUACAUUGCUAGAUAAACCAAGUGUCCUCAGCCUCUCCUCAGGCGAAGUACCCUCUGGCCCUUUUAUCCGCUUUGCUGCCUACCUCUGCGCACUUUCAAGGAGCCGAACAUCAUUUUUAAUUGUGGAUUCCAGAACUGCAUGCAGUAUUAAAGGGCCAGAGUAAUCCCAAGAAAACAGAAGAUACUCUGAAAACACAGGGAAAGCUCUACUGUGUAGAAAUGUAUAACGUCAGGGAGGCUGAGCAGAUGAGGGCAAUCCAGAUUGCAAUGCAAUGAGGUCUUUGCUGUUUCUGGAAUGCAUGCAAACAACUAAUAUGCGUGCUGGGGGCAGUCAAUGUCCUCACAUCAGAGGAAGAACAGAAUCUACUGGUUGCAUCGUUCCUUGUGCUUAGAGGUCUGAAAAAAUAAUUCCGUAGUUACUCAGUAUUCCUACUAAGACCAGCUUAUUAUUCUCAGCCUCUCAUAUGGUUGUAAUUUGUAAGCAAUAGCAGUAUAUUCAAACCAGAUACACUUUAUGAAUGUACUGAAUCUUACAGUUAAUAUCCUUGUAUCACUUUCUUGCCAUGACUCUUCUCUAUGAGAAGCUGUAAUUGCUAGGAAAUAAUUUACCUGAAUAAAGCAUGUAUUUAUAGCUGUAAAUGGGAAAAUAUACAGGAUGUGUAGUUACAGUUUUCCUAGAGUAUAGCUUAAGGAUUAUUUUAAAAUGCACUUGCUUGUUUUGUUUUGAUUUUUGAUGCCAGCAUCAAAAAAUUCAUUUAUUAUUGACUUUUGUUUGACAGUCCUUCAGUUUCAAGCUUCUUGAGAUUCUGAAUAUAAUCACGGCAGAUAUGUGUACAUCUCUUAUUGCUUGGCUGAGCACAAAAGACUUAGAAGCAAUCCUACAGGAAAAAGACCCACUCCCUUUAUGCAUUCUUAAAAAUCAUUAAUGCUUUCUGGCAAGAGUAUGCAAGGCAGUUGUAAUAAUGGAGCAAUAUAAUUAACCUUCUUUAUAAAUGAAAUGUGCAAAUAUAAUACAUAGCACACAAGCUAGAUAGAAUUAUCUCUCCUUCAUUGUAGAUUUAGUUGGGAAUAAAUAGGUUCCUAACAGCUGCUCUGUGGAUUGGGAAUUUGAAACAUCUUUUACUUCUUCUCCUUCAAAGAUCUACUGAGAACCCGGGGCUAAGAAUGGCUAAAUGUGAAAUGUAGUCAUAUAUUAUUAUAUACAGAAUCAAUAUUUCCAAAGGCCAUCCAAACUGUUUGAGAAAAGAAGAAUUUGGCAUACUUUCUGUAAACUUCAAAAGAAGCAAAGCUGGAAAUACUUGUUUUACUUAUCAAUUGCAGUUUAACCGACAGAAUUCUGUGUAAGGCAAAGAUGGUAAAAGAAGAAAUUAAUUAUUCAUGUAGCCAUCAUUGAUUGGGAAUUCUCUUUAGCAGCUGUGGGAGAGAAACCCUGCAUAAUCCAUAAAAGGUAAAUGUAUUAUUUGAAGUAAAAUAUUGUCUGAUAUGAAGGGGGAGAUUUUUCUAACCAUUUUUGCGUAAAUGUGGAAGAGCCAUUCCCGUCCUUAAGGACAGGGCUGAACACAAUCCUUAUCUUUUGUAGAGAAAAAAUAGGUGGUUCCUUUUUUGAAUAUGUGUGGUCAUUUAUUUGUGUUACCUGUUUAAAAUACAAGAACCUGAUAAAAAGUCAAAAAACUGAAAUGGAAGGAGCUGAGAAUCCUAUAUGUUUUCCUUUAGAAAUAAAAUGACUCCAGUGAAUUCAAUGCUAACCUGUAUUCUUAUGUUAUCUCCUAUGGAAUUAUCUUAGAAUACAGUUCUUGAAAUGAAGAAAUCAAGAAAAAGCAGAAAAAAACAGCUCCCUUGUCCUCAUAAAAGAGCAAAUCAGUAUGCUGUAAUGAAACAUUUUCUAAAAGUUCAACAUAAAAGAGUAUUCUGAAACU